UACGAAGGGGGCUAGCGUUGUUCGGAAUUACUGGGCGUAAAGCGUGCGCAGGCGGCUUCUCAAGUCAGGGGUGAAAGCCCAGAGCUCAACUCUGGAAUUGCCUUUGAGACUGAGUGGCUUGAGUACGAGAGAGGUGAGUGGAACUCCUAGUGUAGAGGUGGAAUUCGUAGAUAUUAGGAAGAACACCAGUGGCGAAGGCGGCUCACUGGUCCGGUACUGACGCUGAGGUGCGAAAGCGUGGGGAGCAAACAGG
rnacentral:rRNA from 1 species